CAGUCGCCGCGGGAACACGAAGGGGGCUAGCGUUGUUCGGAAUUACUGGGCGUAAAGGGCUCGCAGGCGGUUUCUUAAGUCUGAUGUGAAAGCCCCCGGCUCAACCGGGGAGGGUCAUUGGAAACUGGGAAACUUGAGUGCAGAAGAGGAGAGUGGAAUUCCACGUGUAGCGGUGAAAUGCGUAGAGAUGUGGAGGAACACCAGUGGCGAAGGCGACUCUCUGGUCUGUAACUGACGCUGAGGAGCGAAAGCGUGGGGAGCGAACAGGAUUAGAUACCCCCGUAGUCCCUGUCUCUUAUAC
rnacentral:rRNA from 1 species